GGUUAAAAAGCUCGUAGUUGGAUCUCGGCGGUCUGAGGGCGGUUCGCUUGAUUGAGUGCUACUGCUCUAUAGGCCGUGGUUUUGCCAGAGGUCUCGGGGUGCUCUUAACCGAGUGUCCUGCGAUGCUGGCAGGUUUACUUUGAAAAAAUUAGAGUGCUCAAAGCAGGCUCUUACGCCUGAAUAUUCGUGCAUGGAAUAAUAGAAUAGGAAGUCGUUUCUAUUUUGUUGGUCUUCGGAAAUCGACUUAAUGAUUAAUAGGGACAGUCGGGGGCAUUUGUAUUCAAACGACAGAGGUGAAAUUCUUGGACCGUUUGAAGACAAACUACUGCGAAAGCAUUUGCCAAGAGUGUUUUCAUUAAUCAAGAACGAAAGUUAGAGGUUCGAAGGCGAUCAGAUACCGCCCUAGUUCUAACCAUAAACGAUGCCAGCUAGCGAUCUGCCGAGUUUUUUUUGUAGGCUCCGCAGGAAGCUUUCGGGAAACCAAAGCUUUUGGGUUCCGGGGGAAGUAUGGUUGCAAAGCUGAAACUUAAAGGAAUUGACGGAAGGGCACCACCAGGAGUAGAGCCUGCGGCUUAAUUUGACUCAACACGGGAAAUCUCACCAGGCCCGGACACUGGAAGGAUUGACAGAUUGAGAGCUCUUUCUCGAUUCGGUGGGUGGUGGUGCAUGGCCGU
rnacentral:rRNA from 1 species